rnacentral:rRNA from 1 species
GGUUCGGAUACUGGGCAUAAGCGCGCGUAGGCGGCAUGGUAAGUCGGGUGUGAAAUCCCUCGGCCCAACCGAGGAAUUGCGCUCGAAACUACCGUGCUUGAGGACAGGAGGGGAGCCUGGAAUUCCUGGUGGAGCGGUGAAAUGCGUUGAUAUCAGGAGGAACACCGGCGGCGAAGGCGAGGCUCUGGCCUGUUUCUGACGCUGAGGCGCGAAAGCUAGGGGAGCAAACGGGAUAGAUACCCCGGUAGUCCUAGCCGUAAACGAUGGGCACUAGGUAGGGGGGUACCCAAUGCCUCCCUGCUGGAGCAAAUGUAUUAAGUGCCCCGCCUGGGGAGUAUAGUCGCAAGGCUGAAACUCAAAGGAAUUGACGGGGGCUCACACAAGCGGUGGAGCAUGUUGUUUAAUUCGAAGCAACGCGCAGAACCUUACCUGGGCUUGACAUGUUAGUGGUAGGAGCCUGAAAGGGUAACGACCCCGAAAGAGGGAGCUAGCACAGGUGUUGCAUGUCUGUCGUCAGCUCGUGUCGUGAGAUGUCGGGUUAAGUUCCAUAACGAGCGAAACCCUUGUCUUCAGUUGCCAGCGGGUAAAGCCGGGGACUCUGGAGAGACUGCCGGUGUUAAACCGGAGGAAGGUGGGGAUGACGUCAAGUCCUCAUGGCCCUUACGCCCAGGGCUACGAACGUGCCACAAUGGCCGGUACAGAGGGACGCGAAACCGUGAGGUCAAGCAAAUCCCAAAAAGCCGGUCUCAGUUCGGAUUGAGGGCUGCAACUCGCCCUCAUGAAGCUGGAAUCGCUAGUAAUCGGGGAUCAGCUACGCCCCGGUGAAUAUGUUCCUGAGCCUUGUAC